rnacentral:rRNA from 1 species
UACAGGGGGGGCAAGCGUUGUUCGGAAUUACUGGGCGUAAAGGGCUCGUAGGCGGCCGGCUAAGUCCGACGUGAAAUCCCCAGGCUUAACCUGGGAACUGCGUCGGAUACUGGCGGGCUUGAAUCCGGGAGAGGGAUGCGGAAUUCCAGGUGUAGCGGUGAAAUGCGUAGAUAUCUGGAGGAACACCGAUGGCGAAGGCGGCUUUCUGGCCUGUUCUUGACGCUGAGGCGCGAAAGCUAGGGGAGCGAACGGG